CGGGAAUGAAGCGCCGUCAUGUUCAUCGUCACAGGGCACAUUACAAGCUGUUGUUGAAACUGGUGAGCAAGACACACCAAGCAUGGUCAUUGAGCCUGUCGAGCGCCCACUCGGCUCAGGGGAUAAUGAUGGCAUAAAUUUUAAACUACCCAGCCUUGGUGCCCUCCAUGAAAAAGUGAUAAGCUCUCCGCUGCUAACACCUUCUACAUUCAGGCAAAUCAUUGACAUCCUGCACAAUGAAAU